UACGUAGGGGGCAAGCGUUGUCCGGAAUCAUUGGGCGUAAAGAGCGUGUAGGCGGCUCGGUAAGUCCGCUGUGAAAGUCCAGGGCUCAACCCUGGAAUGCCGGUGGAAACUGUCGAGCUAGAGUCCGGAAGAGGCGAGUGGAAUUCCUGGUGGUAGCGGUGAAAUGCGCAGAUAUCAGGAGGAACACCAAUGGCGAAGGCAGCUCGCUGGGACGGUACUGACGCCUGGAGACGCGAAAGCGUGGGGAGGCAAACAGG
rnacentral:rRNA from 1 species